GAUUCCAUAGUGUAAUAGAGUGCACUCUGGACUCUGAAUCCUGUGAUCUGAAUUCAAAUCUUGGUGAAACUU
rnacentral:tRNA from 1 species